rnacentral:rRNA from 1 species
CCCUUAGAUGUUCUGGGCUGCACACGUGCUACACUGAAGCUAUCAACACGUUUUCCCUCCCUGAGAAGGGCGGGUAACCUUUUGAAUCAGCUUCGUGGUAGGGAUCGGGGCUUGCAAUUGUUCCCCGUGAACCAGGAAUUCCUAGUAGACGCGAGUCAUAAGCUCGCAUCGAUUAAGUCCCUGCCCUUUGUACACACCGCCCGUCGCUACUACCGAUUGAACGUUUUAGUGAGGCAUUUGGACCGACGCAUCUCAGUUUAACCGCUGGUUUGUGUUGGAAAGACUUCCAAACUUGAGCGUUUAGAGGAAGUAAAAGUCGUAACA